GGAAAAGAAAAUAAAUAAUGAUUUCUUUAGUAGCGGCGAGCGAACGAGAAAGAGCCCAAACCAUUUUAAAUGGGGUCAUAGGACAGACUACAUAGAGUUACAAAAUUUAAUAAUAGCAGAAGCUUUUGGGAAGAAGCGGCACAGAAGGUGAUACCCCUGUAUGCGAAAUUAUUAAAUCUCUUGACUGUAUCCUGAGUAGGGCGGGGCACGUGAAACCCUGUCUGAAUUUGCCGGGACCACCCGGUAAGGCUAAAUACUAACCAGACACCGAUAGCGAACUAGUACCGUGAGGGAAAGGUGAAAAGAACCCCGAGAGGGGAGUGAAAUAGACUCUGAAACCACUUACUUACAAUUAGUCAGAGCCCGUUAAUGGGUGAUGGCGUACAUCUUGCAGUAUGGACCGGCGAGUUACUUUAGCAUGCAAGGUUAAGCAGAUAAAAGCGGAGCCGUAGAGAAAUCGAGUCUUAAUAGGGCGAUUAGUAUGCUUGAGUACACCCGAAACCAGGUGACCUAUUCAUGAGCAGACUGAAACUUAGCUAACCCUAAGUGGAGGGUCGAACCGUAGUACACUGAUACGUGCCCGGAUGACUUGUGAAUAGCGGAGAAAUUCCAAUCGAACUUGGAGAUAGCUGGUUCUCCUCGAAAUAGCUUUAGGGCUAGCGUGUAGUGUUAAAUAAUGGUGGUAAAGCACUGAAUAUGGAAUGGCCUCGCCUAGGGGUACUGACUAUAAUCAAACUCUGAAUACCGUUAUGAAUUGCUAUGCAGUCGGAACCGGGGUGCUAACGUCCCGGCUCGCGAGGGAAACAACCCAGAUCGUCAGCUAAGGUCCCAAAAUCGUGUUAAGUCAGAAAGGUUGUGAGGUUUCAUAAACAACUAGGAAGUUGGCUUAGAAGCAGCCAUCUUUUAAAGAGUGCGUAAUAGCUCACUAGUCAAGAGACCUUGCGCCGACAAUGUAACGGGAGUAAAACACGAUACCGAAGCUACGGGUACAUUUAUGUACGUUAGAGGAGCGUUCUUAGGGCAAUGAAGCUAGACUGUAAAGACUAGUGGAGCGCUAAGAAGUGAGAAUGCCGGUAUGAGUAACGAUUCGUAGUGAGAAUCUACGACGCCUAUUGGGGAAGGUUUCCUGGGCAAGGUUCGUCCACCCAGGGUUAGUCAGGACCUAAGGCGAGGCUGAAAAGCGUAGUCGAUGGACAACAGGUUAAUAUUCCUGUACUUUCUUUAAUUGUGAUGGAGUGACGGAGAAGGAUAAGCAUACCUAUUAUUGGAUUUAGGGGUAAGUAGUUACUGGUGAUUGUAGGCAAAUCCGCAAUCUAUAACCGGGAGCUAUGAUGCAUAGGACAAUUGUCUGAAUUUGCCAAUUCCAUGCUUCCUAGAAAAGCUUCUAAACUUAAUGUUAUUGAAACCUGUACCGAGAACGGACACACGUCCCCAAGAUGAGUAUUCUAAGGCGAGCGAGAAAACUAGUGUUAAGGAACUCUGCAAAAUGACCCCGUAAGUUCGCAAGAAGGGGCGCCUAUGGUAACACAUAGGCCACAGUAAAUUAUGAGGGGCAACUGUUUAUCAAAAACACAACUCUCUGCUAAACCGCAAGGUGAUGUAUAGGGGGUGAAGCCUGCCCAGUGCCCGAAGGUUAAGUGGAUGCGUUAGCUUAUGCGAAGCGUUGAAAUGAAGCCCGGGUGAACGGCGGCCGUAACUAUAACGGUCCUAAGGUAGCGAAAUUCCU
rnacentral:rRNA from 1 species